UGAGGAAUAUUGCGCAAUGGGCGCAAGCCUGAUCCAGCCAUGCCGCGUGAGUGACGAAGGCCUUAGGGUUGUAAAGCUCUUUUUGGCGGGGAAGAUAAUGACGGUACCCGCAGAAUAAGCUCCGGCUAACUUCGUGCCAGCAGCCGCGGUAAUACGAAGGGAGCUAGCGUUGUUCGGAAUCACUGGGCGUAAAGCGCACGUAGGUGGAUAGUUAAGUGAGGGGUGAAAGCCCGAGGCUCAACCUCGGAAUUGCCUCUCAUACUGGCUGUCUCGAGUCCGAGAGAGGUGGGUGGAAUUCCUAGUGUAGAGGUGAAAUUCGUAGAUAUUAGGAAGAACACCGGUGGCGAAGGCGGCCCACUGGCUCGGUACUGACACUGAGGUGCGAAAGCGUGGGGAGCAAACAGGAUUAGAUACCCCUGUAGUCCCUGAGCGGGCUGGCAAGGCGCAU
rnacentral:rRNA from 1 species